rnacentral:rRNA from 1 species
UUAGCUAGUUGGUAAGGUAACGGCUUACCAAGGCGACGAUCAGUAGCCGACUUGAGAGAGUGAUCGGCCACAUUGGGACUGAGACACGGCCCAAACUCCUACGGGAGGCAGCAGUGGGGAAUAUUGGACAAUGGGGGAAACCCUGAUCCAGCGACGCCGCGUGAGUGAAGAAGUAUUUCGGUAUGUAAAGCUCUAUCGGCAGGGAAGAUAAUGACAGUACCUGACUAAGAAGCCCCGGCUAACUACGUGCCAGCAGCCGCGGUAAUACGUAGGGGGCAAGCGUUAUCCGGAUUUACUGGGUGUAAAGGGAGCGUAGGUGGCAUGGCAAGUCAGAAGUGAAAGCCCAGGGCUCGACCCUGGGACUGCUUUUGAAACUGUCAAGCUAGAGUGCAGGAGAGGUAAGUGGAAUUCCUAGUGUAGCGGUGAAAUGCGUAGAUAUUAGGAGGAACACCAGUGGCGAAGGCGGCCUACUGGGCUUUAACUGACGCUGAGGCUCGAAAGCGUGGGUAGCAAACAGGAUUAGAUACCCUGGUAGUCCACGCUGUAAACGAUGAUUACUAGGUGUGGGGGGACUGACCCCUUCCGUGCCGGA